GUACAUAAUAAUCUCUCCGUCCUUCGCGACCCGGCGACGCAACCGGGAAUCCAAAGACGCGGAGGAGGAGGAGGAAUAGAGAGCGCGAUGGGUCUGCAGUUUGUUGGCGAUGGUGUGUUCUUUGCGGAGCUUAGUGACGUCCUCACAAGAACCACUGAGCUGUGGACGGGUACUCCAGUGUUGAGGUCAACAUCGGUGAUCAUUACUAGAGCCGCCAGGACCCUGAACGUACUUGAUAUCGAUCUUCAAUUUAUGUUAAGCCUCGGUGGUACACCCGAUUUGGACUUCGUAUCAUAAUUGUGUAUGGUGAGAAGGAGAGAAGGAUAUUGGAGUUGACUUCUGUGGUCCGAUAAAGAUUCAACUUUUUGGAAAAUGGUGUGGAGCUGUACACCGAAGGUCAACAACAGAGGGCUUUGUGCAAUUGCUUGGGCUAUCUUUUUGGUACAAGCUUCUUGGAGGAGUAUCAUUCCUUCUUAACAUGGAGGAGAAGGGAGCAUAGGAGAGGAGAGCAAAGUGAGAGUGAAGCGCUUAUAUGAAGG